rnacentral:rRNA from 1 species
AGAGUUUGAUCCUGGCUCAGGACGAACGCUGGCGGCGCGCCUAACACAUGCAAGUCGAACGGAGAUUACAGGCGGAAGUUUUCGGAUGGAAGCUUGUAAACUUAGUGGCGGACGGGUGAGUAACACGUGAGCAACCUGCCUAUCAGAGGGGGAUAACGAUUGGAAACGAUCGCUAAUACCGCAUGACAUAGCGGAAUCGCAUGGUUCUGUUAUCAAAGAUUUUAUCGCUGAUAGAUGGGCUCGCGUCCGAUUAGAUAGUUGGUGGGGUAACGGCCUACCAAGUCGACGAUCGGUAGCCGGACUGAGAGGUCGAACGGCCACAUUGGGACUGAGACACGGCCCAGACUCCUACGGGAGGCAGCAGUGGGGGAUAUUGCACAAUGGGGGAAACCCUGAUGCAGCGACGCCGCGUGAGGGAAGACGGUCCUCUGGAUUGUAAACCUCUGUCUUCGGGGACGAAACGAGACGGUACCCGAGGAGGAAGCCACGGCUAACUACGUGCCAGCAGCCGCGGUAAUACGUAGGUGGCAAGCGUUGUCCGGAAUUACUGGGUGUAAAGGGAGCGUAGGCGGGAGUGCAAGUCGGCUGUCUAAACUAUGGGCUCAACCCAUAAUCGCGGCCGAAACUGUACUUCUUGAGUGAAGUAGAGGUAGGCGGAAUUCCUAGUGUAGCGGUGAAAUGCGUAGAUAUUAGGAGGAACACCAGUGGCGAAGGCGGCCUACUGGGCUUUUACUGACGCUGAGGCUCGAAAGCAUGGGGAGCAAACAGGAUUAGAUACCCUGGUAGUCCAUGCCGUAAACGAUGAUUACUAGGUGUGGGGGGACUGACCCCUUCCGUGCCGGAGUUAACACAAUAAGUAAUCCACCUGGGGAGUACGACCGCAAGGUUGAAACUCAAAGGAAUUGACGGGGGCCCGCACAAGCAGUGGAGUAUGUGGUUUAAUUCGAAGCAACGCGAAGAACCUUA